rnacentral:lncRNA from 1 species
AUUUGUUUUCGAAAAGGGCAUUGGAUCUGAUAAGACAGAAAAAGAUUAUCUGGACAAACAAUGCCUGAAGUUUCAUUGGCUACUUUCAGUCGUGAUGGGAGGAGGGGCCUAAUCCAACUGGAGAGAAGGAUAUCUGUUCCUUAAUUGGGGAGACAACCUCUUUCUUCCAUGCUCUACACAGAUGGAGCUUGAAGCCAUCUUGCUACUAUGAGGGGACAAAGCUACACAACAAGGGUUCCUGAGCAGUGGGGCCACAAUCCUGAGACACACCUCUGGAGCCUUCCCCCUGUAUGGACUUUGCAGCUACCUUUCAGGUAUCUGACUGAAGUCACGCUGAGACUUAGAAACCUUGUGGCCUCGCGGUUUGAGAUUCCCUGCGCAGGCAGUGCGGCGACAGUUCUUGAAGGUAAUUAGCUCAGUUGACCUCCCUCUUCUCUCAAAGCCUCAAGAACUUGGCCAGAGAAGCUGUGGAAAGUGUGAGGCAAGAAAUUAAAUUUACCCUGCUCAAUAGUCAUCAGUGAGCAAGCUGAAGCACUUUCUGACGGCAAGGGCCGGCUGCCCUCUGUGUACAGAAUCGCCCUACUGCCUGGGGUCAUGUCAGGAAGGCUGUAUGCUGAUCUAACCAUUACCUCACCACCCCUUGAGAGAUUCGUGGGGCCUGGAAGGAGCACAGGAAUUGGUGGAAAGGCUCCAGCUCAGCCCACCUGCUUGGACGUCACGGGGCCAAGACAGUCUUGGUUGCUCUGAUAGCAAUGUCACAAAUCAGGAGACCUGGCUGCCUUGUGGUGAGACCGAAGCUGCAGCCCAGAGCCUGUACAAUCACCUUUAUGCGCUGGCGAUUGUAGGCAGCACAUCUCUCCUGGGGCGAUCACACAUAUUUACUGAUGUGGAAGCACUGAUCUCAUUGCUUUUUAAAUAACACACCAUCUUGAUAACUCAUUAAAUUCCAGUCAUUUGCUGCUGGCUUCCCAGAAUUCGGGAGAAGUUCUUACCUUCUUCUUAAGGUCUCUAAUAAGGCCUUGACAUUACAGAACACCUUCCUGAAAGAAUCUCAAAGCUUUAAUAUAAUUCAUCCUAUCCUCAAUUUACAGGUGGGAAAAUGGAAGCAUCAAUUAAACAACUUGCCUGUGGCACAGAGUAGGUGUGGGGGAAAACAGGUAGAACCUGGAUAGGAGUAUAUGGGAACUCUCUAGACUUUCUGCUCAAUUUUGCUGUGAACCUAAAACUGCUUUAAAAAAUAAAAUGUAUUAUUUUUUUUUUAGAAGGUAGAAG